GUGAGGAAUAUUGGUCAAUGGGCGGAAGCCUGAACCAGCCAUCCCGCGUGGAGGAAGACGGCCCUAUGGGUUGUAAACUUCUUUUCAAGGGGAAGAAAGUUCGCGACGUGUCGCGAUUUGCCGGUACCUUUGGAAUAAGCAUCGGCUAACUCCGUGCCAGCAGCCGCGGUAAUACGGAGGAUGCGAGCGUUAUCCGGAUUUAUUGGGUUUAAAGGGUGCGUAGGCCGAUCGAUAAGUCAGCGGUGAAAUACCAUGGCCCAACCAUGGAACUGCCGUUGAUACUGUCGGUCUUGAAUAUGGUCAAGGUAGGCGGAAUGUGUAAUGUAGCGGUGAAAUGCUUAGAUAUUACACAGAACACCGAUUGCGAAGGCAGCUUACUGGUCCAUUAUUGACGCUGAGGCACGAAAGCGUGGGGAUCGAACAGGAUUAGAAACCCUUGUAGUCC
rnacentral:rRNA from 1 species